UACGGGGGGGGCAAGCGUUGUUCGGAAUUACUGGGCGUAAAGGGCUCGUAGGCGGCCAACUAAGUCCGACGUGAAAUCCCAAGGCUUAACCUUGGAACUGCGUCGGAUACUGGAUGGCUUGAAUUCGGGAGAGGGAUGCAGAAUUCCAGGUGUAGCGGUGAAAUGCGUAGAUAUCUGGAGGAAUACCGGUGGCGAAGGCGGCAUCCUGGACCGACAUUGACGCUGAGGAGCGAAAGCGAGGGGAGCAAACGGG
rnacentral:rRNA from 1 species